UACGGGGGGGGCAAGCGUUGUUCGGAAUUACUGGGCGUAAAGGGCUCGUAGGCGGCCAACUAAGUCGGACGUGAAAUCCCUCGGCUUAACCGGGGAACUGCGUCCGAUACUGGAUGGCUUGAGUUCGGGAGAGGGAUGCGGAAUUCCAGGUGUAGCGGUGAAAUGCGUAGAUAUCUGGAGGAAUACCGGUGGCGAAGGCGGCAUCCUGGACCGACAUUGACGCUGAGGAGCGAAAGCUAGGGGAGCAAACGGG
rnacentral:rRNA from 1 species